AGCUAAAUUCCUGAAUGCAUCCGUGUACGGUACUUUGCAAAAUGUACACCAGUAGGUUCAAUUUCUUGCAAUGUGUAGAUGUUGGAAAAUUUGCUUCAAUAGGGAAAAAUAGAGAAGAAACAAUAUAUAAAAAUAAUCAAGGAGAUAAAAAUGAGAAGAAAAAUCAUAAUAAAUAUGAAGGCUCAAACACGACAUUAUAUCGCUGUCCCCAAACUAUAUUUGCCCCCUCUCGAAUAUAAUUUUGGUGCUUAAAG
rnacentral:lncRNA from 1 species